UGGGGAAUAUUGCACAAUGGGCGCAAGCCUGAUGCAGCAACGCCGCGUGAACGAUGAAGGUCUUCGGAUCGUAAAGUUCUGUUGCAGGGGAAGAUAAUGACGGUACCCUGUGAGGAAGCCCCGGCUAACUACGUGCCAGCAGCCGCGGUAAUACGUAGGGGGCUAGCGUUGUCCGGAAUUAUUGGGCGUAAAGGGUACGUAGGCGGUUUUUUAAGUCAGGUGUCAAAGCGUGGAGCUUAACUCCAUUAAGCACUUGAAACUGAAAGACUUGAGUGAAGGAGAGGAAAGUGGAAUUCCUAGUGUAGCGGUGAAAUGCGUAGAUAUUAGGAGGAAUACCGGUGGCGAAGGCGACUUUCUGGACUUUUACUGACGCUCAGGUACGAAAGCGUGGGGAGCAAACAGG
rnacentral:rRNA from 1 species